GUCUCGCUUUGUCAACAAGGCUGGAGUGCAGUGUCGCAAUCUUGGCUCAAUGCAACCUCCACCUCCCGGGUUCAAGGGAUUCUUCUGCCUCAGCCUCCUGAGUAGCUGGGACUACAGGUGCAUGCCACCAUGCCUGGCUAAUUUUUGUAUUUUUGGUAGAGAUGGGGUUUCACCAUAUUGGCCAGGCUGGUCUCAAAUUCCUGACCUCAUGAUCUGCCCGCCUCGGCCUCCCAAAGUGCUUGGAUUACAGAGGGAAGACCAUAGAAGCUUUACCAUAGGGCCUAGUGUCAUGAUCAUAUAUUUACUCCAUAAAUACCUGUGAGGGAAGAAAGCUAAUGGAACUUGAGAGCAGGUGAAAUGGAAGGCUAUGUGCAAGUUCUAAGG